rnacentral:rRNA from 1 species
UACGUAGGGACCGAGCGUUGUCCGGAAUCAUUGGGCGUAAAGAGCGUGUAGGCGGCUUGUUAAGUCUUGCGUGAAAUCUCGGGGCUCAACCCCGAGCGGUCGUGAGAAACUGGCAGGCUAGAGUGCGGGAGAGGAGAGUGGAAUUCCUGGUGUAGCGGUGAAAUGCGCAGAUAUCAGGAGGAACACCGGUGGCGAAGGCAGGUCUCUGGGCUGACACGUGACGCUCAUGCACGAAAGCGUGGGGAGCAAACAGG